GUCAUCGUGGGUUUUUUUCACUGUAUUCCAUGGUUAUCUGUUUUUGUUCUGCUUUAACCUAGGUCGUUUUCUUGAUCGUGCAUUUGUAUUCUGGAUCCUUCCCACCGCCUCUCUUUCUGCUUUAAGCCACUCCGCUAAGGACACCACCCUGCAUCGCCGAUCUCCGCGUGCUUAAACCACCGUCAUCCCGUCGCCGCUGUCUUCAACGAUGUAUCGACCACCAACCACCACAGUUCGCCGUUUGCCGUCUGCUCCACCACCGUCUCAACAGAAGUCGCACGUUCUUCUCAAUCUAGCGGCUUCUGAUUGGAAAGCAACAAGGAUUUCAGGUUGCUCCUGUCUACCCAAAUGUUGUCGUUGAGAUUCUGAUACAGUGAAUCCUCGAUUUCAUGUUUUCUGUCAGCUUUCAUCAUAAGGUCAACGCGUACUACAACGAAGGCUGGUGGGGCAACGUUAACGCCGCCGUCAUCCCCAGGAAUCAGAAGUGAAUUUUGGUGAAAUCCCAGAUUACACUUGAGUAACUCAAAAACUCUGCAUCUUAAAGUAAGUUUUCUCUAAAUUACCACCCUAACUUGACAAAUUCUACACGAAAUCAGAUUUUCCUUAUUUCGUUUUAGGUUGUUUACCCUUUUUAAGCAUCGUUUCCUGAAGCAUCGUUAUACAGCUUUCAUCACUUUUUCAUUGCUUUAUUGUCUUCCAUUCUAUCUUAUAAAUGUGUCCGAAUUGAGUGUUUGGUUACGCUAUGUAAGGGUGCACAACAUUUUCUUUUGAAUUUACGUAGGUAUGUUUUGACUAAAUGGUUGGAAUACAUUCAUGCACUGUAGGUGUUUGAUCAAUUGCCAGAUAGAAAAAAUAGAAUAUCCACUUUCACUUUAUUCAUUUUGUUCUUCAAAUUGGUUAAUAGAGAUGACACAGGGGAUGUCUUUUGGUCAACCACUAAUUCAUUCAUGAUACUUUCAUUACAUUAUUUUUUUUGCUAUGUGUUGAAUUUAUCACGUCAGGUUUUCCCAUUUGUACAUGUUAGGUGUUGUUUGUUUUUUCUGAGGCAAAAUGUCUGCAGUCUGCGGACCACAUCUGGAGACCUCUGCAGUAGAAGAGGCUAGAAGAUGUCUGAAGAUGUUAGAAGACUUUGGUCCACAUCUGCGCCAAGAAGAGGGCGCGCAGACAUUUUUAGAACUUGGACAACGAAUAUAAGUCUGCGUAUGUUAGGUGAACAACAAUUGCCCGGUGAAGAACAACAACUACAUUUGUAGAAAAGAUAAGUGCCACCAAUUAAAAGGUUCUCUGCAAAAUGAACUUCAUCAUCUUCAUACACCUGAAAAGAGUUAAGUUCACAAGCUUCAGGAAUUAAAAGACGAGGAAAGUUAGAUUUAUGAAUUUAUAUUAACCUGGAACCAUUAUAUUAACCUGGAACCAGGAUUAUGGAUAUUUUAUACAUGAGACUUAUCUAGCAGCAAUGAGAAGAAAUAUAAGACGGUUACAAUCACUUUUGUUGUUAAGAAGGUUAGCAGAAAAUUGAAAUUUCUACAAAAAAUGGGAGAAGCAUGUUGUUACUUUACUUGCCAACAAGCAACAGAAGAGGAAGAUUGUAAUUUUUUGAGUGUGAAAUGCUUAAAGUCGAGAAAACAGUAGAAUGGCAUAUUAGGUAUUUCAUGCACAAGUUACCUGAAUCAGAUGUUGUUGGAUGAUGUUGGUAAGAAUAUCUUCUAACUUAGUGGGAGUUGUGUUUCUUAGUUGUUAAUGGACAGCUUAAAAACAUGCCGUUAGUAUUAGAAGAUUUGUAUCAUAGGUUUGGACUUCAAAGUAGUAGUCGGCGACGUUUAUAUAGUUCACAAUACAUUCAUUCCUAUUAUAAUUUUUUUGUUAUGAUUUUUAUUU